rnacentral:rRNA from 1 species
CGUAGGAGGCAAGCGUUAUCCGGAUUCACUGGGCGUAAAGCGCGUGCAGGCGGUGCGGUAAGUUAGGCGUGAAAUCUCCCGGCUCAACUGGGAGAGGUCGUCUAAUACUACCGUACUUGAGAGCAGAAGAGGAAGAUGGAAUUCCCGGUGUAGUGGUGAAAUGCGUAGAUAUCGGGAGGAGCACCAGUGGCGAAGGCGAUCUUCUGGUCUGUUUCUGACGCUCAGACGCGACAGCUAGGGUAGUAAACGGGAUUAGAGACCCCGGUAAUCCUAGCCGUAAACGAUGUGAACUUGGCGUUGGUGGGUUAAACUCCAUCAGUGCCGCAGCAAACGCGAUAAGUUCACCGCCUGGGGACUACGGCCGCAAGGUUA